ACAUGGUUGCAAUUGUUUCCUGAAGGUUUGCUCAUUUGAUAAACUUGGAGUUCUUCGAUGAUUUGUUGGUGGUGCUGUACGGCCUCAUCACAUCGGGUGAUCUGACGUAUCGCGAGAGCCUUCACUGCAUCCUCACAUCCUUCCACAUCCUCUCAGGACAAGGUGACGUCCUCAACAUCGACCCUUUGAAAUUCUACAACCACUUCUACAAAACCCUGCUGACGCUGCACGCAGGUGAGAUCUCCAGUGUCUCUUUGUUCUGCACACCGAGUUAUUUAAUAUGAGCGAGAACAUCCCGUCACUUAG